AUUGAACGCUGGCGGCAGGCCUAACACAUGCAAGUCGAACGGUAGCACAGAGGAGCUUGCUCCUUGGGUGACGAGUGGCGGACGGGUGAGUAAUGUCUGGGAAACUGCCUGAUGGAGGGGGAUAACUACUGGAAACGGUAGCUAAUACCGCAUAACGUCGCAAGACCAAAGAGGGGGACCUUCGGGCCUCUUGCCAUCAGAUGUGCCCAGAUGGGAUUAGCUAGUAGGUGGGGUAAUGGCUCACCUAGGCGACGAUCCCUAGCUGGUCUGAGAGGAUGACCAGCCACACUGGAACUGAGACACGGUCCAGACUCCUACGGGAGGCAGCAGUGGGGAAUAUUGCACAAUGGGCGCAAGCCUGAUGCAGCCAUGCCGCGUGUAUGAAGAAGGCCUUCGGGUUGUAAAGUACUUUCAGCGGGGAGGAAGGCGAUACGGUUAAUAACCGUGUCGAUUGACGUUACCCGCAGAAGAAGCACCGGCUAACUCCGUGCCAGCAGCCGCGGUAA
rnacentral:rRNA from 1 species